UCCACAUGAUGGCAGCAUGCAAAACUACACGGUGGUUGGUGGAGGAGGUUCAGACUUUCUGUCAUUGGUGGCUGAUGAAAUAAUUCAGCGUGAGCUUGACGAGGCAACACGCAACGAGCGAGUUUGUCAGCAACUCUCUGAGCAGACGUCACAGAAGUUACAUGUAGUAUCGCUAUGACAACGAGAUACUCUAAAGCCAGUAGUAUCCUGUCAUGGAAAUGGUCUCCAGGAAUAGUAUCUGGUACCCGAGUCGAGUCGA